rnacentral:rRNA from 1 species
UACGGAGGAUCCAAGCGUUAUCCGGAUUUAUUGGGCGUAAAGCGCGCGCAGGCGGUCCUUUAAGUCUGAUGUGAAAGCCCACGGCUCAACCGUGGAGGGUCAUUGGAAACUGGGGGACUUGAGUGCAGAAGAGGAAAGUGGAAUUCCAAGUGUAGCGGUGAAAUGCGUAGAGAUUUGGAGGAACACCAGUGGCGAAGGCGACUUUCUGGUCUGUAACUGACGCUGAGGCGCGAAAGCGUGGGGAGCAAACAGG